AUGAUGUUAGUAGAUGGUGAAAGAAA
rnacentral:piRNA from 1 species